CAGAAAGGAACCAAGCAUAUAGUUGCUUAGGAGACAAAAAAGGAAGAGGCAGGUCUGAAGCCAAAGGCAGAUGAAAGAAAAGGCAAAGAAGGAAACAACGGAACACUUCAUUGUUGCUCCUUGAGAUGGUCUUUGGGGUAGCAGGGUAAGAAGAAACAGAGAAUCUGAGAGGACAAGAACUCACCUAAGGGCAGACACAUCUGAAGAAGUGGACUGAAUCUAAAACAGGAUCAGAGCUCUGCCAGCACUUAAGCUGACAUCAAGAAGGGCUGACUGAGAAGACAGAAAGAACUUGGAGUCGUUUUUGUCACUCUUGGAUCAGCCUUCAGUAAAGUGUCACAGUAUUUCACAAGCCUCCGUAAAGAUUCA
rnacentral:lncRNA from 1 species